rnacentral:lncRNA from 1 species
CUAUCUAAUAGGAUCUUUGGUUUAUGAAGUUAAUUGGCAAGAAAUGUUCGAUCAGUUGAGUCAGUGAUUUAAAAAGCAAUAAGCCAUUGUUGUUCAUUCAAGGUGAGUAGUGGGUGGCGAUUUGAUACGAUCCGCCUCGAAAGAGUCGAGUCGUAUUAGUGUGCCCGAUCGUCAACAAAAAGUUAUGUUAGGUUUAAUUAAAAAAAGGUCAGAUGAAGGAAAGAAGGAUGUUGGUUCU